rnacentral:rRNA from 1 species
UACGAAAGGGGCUAGCGUUGUUCGGAAUUACUGGGAGUAAAGCGCGCGUAGGCGGCCUUGUAAGUUGGGGGUGAAAUCCCGGAGCUCAACUCCGGAACUGCCUUCAAGACUGCAAAGCUCGAGGACGCGAGAGGUUAGCGGAAUUCCGAGUGUAGAGGUGAAAUUCGUAGAUAUUCGGAAGAACACCAGUGGCGAAGGCGGCUAACUGGCGCGUUUCUGACGCUGAGGUGCGAAAGCGUGGGGAGUAAACAGG